UUAGGGAAUUUUUCACAAUGGGCGAAAAGCCUGAUGAAGCAAUGCCGCGUGGACGAUGAAGGUCAUAUUGAAUCGUAAAUGUCCGUUUUAAUGAGGGAAAGAAACAACUAAAAAUAGGAAAUUGAGUUUUAGUCUGACUGUACCUCUUGAAUAAGUAACGGCUAACUAUGUGCCAGCAGCCGCGGUAAUACAUAGGUUGCAAGCGUUAUCCGGAUUUACUGGGCGUAAAACGAGCGCGGACGGAUUUAUAAGUCUGGUGUGAAAUACAGUUGCUCAACAACUGUUUGCAUUAGAAACUGUAAGUCUAGAGUGUAGUAGGGAGUUCUGGAACUCCAUGUGGAGCGGUGGAAUGCGUAGAUAUAUGGAAGAACACCAGUGGCGAAGGCGAGAACUUGGACUAUCACUGACGUUUUAGGCUCGAAAGUGUGGGGAGCAAAUAGG
rnacentral:rRNA from 1 species